rnacentral:rRNA from 1 species
UACGGGGGGGGCAAGCGUUGUCCGGAAUUAUUGGGCGUAAAGAGCUCGUAGGCGGUCUGUUGCGUCGGCUGUGAAAACCCGAGGCUCAACCUCGGGCCUGCAGUCGAUACGGGCAGACUAGAGUGCUGUAGGGGAGACUGGAAUUCCUGGUGUAGCGGUGAAAUGCGCAGAUAUCAGGAGGAACACCGGUGGCGAAGGCGGGUCUCUGGGCAGUAACUGACGCUGAGGAGCGAAAGCGUGGGGAGCAAACAGG